CCCUUAGAUGUCCUGGGCUGCACGCGCGCUACACUGAUGUGUCCAGUAGGCACCUAACCUCUUCCGAAAGGAACGGGUAACCUUUGCAAAGCACAUCGUGAUGGGGAUAGAUUAUUGCAAUUAUUAGUCUUGAACGAGGAAUUCCUAGUAAGCACAAGUCAUCAGCUUGUGUUGAUUACGUCCCUGCCCUUUGUACACACCGCCCGUCGCUCCUACCGAUUGAAUGUUCCGGUGAGCUCUUCGGACUGCGCGGUCUGCAGUUUCUGCGUUCCGUGCGGAAAGUUGCGCAAACCUUAACAUUUAGAGGAAGGAGAAGUCGUAACA
rnacentral:rRNA from 1 species